GAAGGGCAUUGUGCAUCUGGGGAUCUUGAAGGUGCAUCUGAUUGUUUCCAAAAUAUGAUCGAAAAGGAGGGAGUUUCUAAUGCAGGUUAUGCCUUUGAAUCUUUGGUAAAUGCAUAUUGUUGCAAGGACAGAAUGAUAGAUGCAAGCAAGCUUCUGCAUCAAUAUGUUCAUCAUCAUCAGUUAGAGCCUUGGCAUACUACCUACAAAGUAUUGAUAAGUAAAUUAUUGGUUCAGGAUGGAUUUACCGAUGCCUUGAAUCUAUUGGAUUU
rnacentral:misc_RNA from 1 species